rnacentral:rRNA from 1 species
GACGUAGGGGGCCAGCGUUGCUCGGAAUUACUGGGUGUAAAGGGUUCGUAGGCGGUGUGGCAAGUUGGGAGUGAAAUCUCUGGGCUCAACCCAGAGGCUGCUUCCAAAACUGCUGUGCUAGAGUGCGGAAGAGGCGAGUGGAAUUCCUGGUGUAGCGGUGAAAUGCGCAGAUAUCAGGAGGAACACCUAUUGCGAAGGCAGCUCGCUGGGACGUAACUGACGCUGAGACGCGAAAGCGUGGGGAGCAAACAGG